UACGUAGGGUGCAAGCGUUGUCCGGAAUUAUUGGGCGUAAAGAGCUCGUAGGCGGCUUGGCAAGUCGGGUGUGAAAACUUCAGGCUCAACCUGGAGCGGCCACUCGAUACUGCUAUGGCUUGAGUCCGGUAGGGGACCACGGAAUUCCUGGUGUAGCGGUGAAAUGCGCAGAUAUCAGGAGGAACACCAGUGGCGAAGGCGGUGGUCUGGGCCGGAACUGACGCUGAGGAGCGAAAGCGUGGGUAGCAAACAGG
rnacentral:rRNA from 1 species